GACGAACGCUGGCGGCGUGCUUAACACAUGCAAGUCGAACGGAAAGGCACUGAUUUUGUGGGGUGCUCGAGUGGCGAACGGGUGAGUAACACGUGAGUAACCUGCUCUUGUUUUUGGGAUAACUUCAGGGAACUGGGGCUACUAUCGUAUAGGAGCUCCUGCUGCAUGGUGGGGGUUGGAAAGUUUCGGCGGUUGGGGAUGGACUCGCGGCUUAUCAGUUUGUUGGUGGGGUAGUGGCUUACCGAGGCAUUGACGGGUAGCCGGCAUGGGAGGGUGACCGGCCACAAUAGGACUGAGGGACGGCCCAGUGUCCAACAUGGGGCAGCAGUGGGGAGUAUGGCACAAUGAUCGCAAGCCGGAUGCAGCGGCGUCGCGUGCGGAAUGACGGCCUGCGGGGAGUGAACCGCUGUCGGCUAUGACGAAGCUUGUGUGACGGUAAUGAGAAAAGAAGCACCGGCUAACUACGUG
rnacentral:rRNA from 1 species